rnacentral:rRNA from 1 species
GGGCACCACCAGGAGUGGAGCCUGCGGCUUAAUUUGACUCAACACGGGAAAACUCACCCGGCCCGGACACUAGGAGGAUUGACAGACUGACUAGCUCUUUCUUGAUUCAGUGGGUGGUGGUGCAUGGCCGUUCUUAGUUGGUGGAGCGAUUUGUCUGGUUAAUUCCGAUAACGAACGAGACUCUAGCCUACUAGUUAUCCGGCCCGGUCGUUAUGCGCCCGGGCAGCGAGCUUCUUAGAGGGACAGACGGCGAGUAAGCCGUACGAGAUAGAGCAAUAACAGGUCUGUGAUGCCCUUAGAUGUCCGGGGCCGCACGCGCGCUACACUGAAGUGAUCAGCACGCUAGCAAGCCCGCUCCGAGUGGAGCGGGUAACCGUUUGAACCCCCUUCAUGAUAGGGAUUGAGCUUUGUAACUAUUGCUCAUGAACGAGGAAUUCCCAGUAGGCGUGAGUCAUUACCUUACGCCGAUUACGUCCCUGCCCUUUGUACACACCGCCCGUCGCUACUACCGAUUGAAUG